AGAGUUUGAUCCUGGCUCAGGAUGAACGCUAGCGGCAGGCUUAACACAUGCAAGUCGAGGGGUAUAGGUUUUCGGACCUAGAGACCGGCGCACGGGUGCGUAACGCGUAUGUAAUCUACCUUUUACAGAGGGAUAGCCCAGAGAAAUUUGGAUUAAUACCUCAUAGUAUUAUUGAAUGGCAUCAUUUAAUAAUUAAAGUCACAACGGUAAAAGAUGAGCAUGCGUCCCAUUAGCUUGUUGGUAAGGUAACGGCUUACCAAGGCAACGAUGGGUAGGGGUCCUGAGAGGGAGAUCCCCCACACUGGUACUGAGACACGGACCAGACUCCUACGGGAGGCAGCAGUGAGGAAUAUUGGUCAAUGGGCGCAAGCCUGAACCAGCCAUGCCGCGUGCAGGAUGACGGUCCUAUGGAUUGUAAACUGCUUUUGUACAGGAAGAAACAGUUCUACGUGUAGAACCUUGACGGUACUGUAAGAAUAAGGAUCGGCUAACUCCGUGCCAGCAGCCGCGGUAAUACGGAGGAUCCAAGCGUUAUCCGGAAUCAUUGGGUUUAAAGGGUCCGUAGGCGGUUUUGUAAGUCAGUGGUGAAAGCCCAUCGCUCAACGGUGGAACGGCCAUUGAUACUGCAAGACUUGAAUUAUUAGGAAGUAACUAGAAUAUGUAGUGUAGCGGUGAAAUGCUUAGAGAUUACAUGGAAUACCAAUUGCGAAGGCAGGUUACUACUAAUGGAUUGACGCUGAUGGACGAAAGCGUGGGUAGCGAACAGGAUUAGAUACCCUGGUAGUCCACGCCGUAAACGA
rnacentral:rRNA from 1 species